rnacentral:rRNA from 1 species
GUCCACGCUGUAAACGAUGAAUGCUAGGUGUAGCGGGUAUCGACCCCUGCUGUGCCGGAGUAAACACAAUAAGCAUUCCGCCUGGGGGAGUACGGCCGCAAGGUUGAAACUCAAAGGAAUUGACGGGGGGCCCGCACAAGCAGCGGAGCAUGUUGUUUAAUUCGAAGCAACGCGAAGAACCUUACCAGGUCUUGACAUCGAGGUAAACUGCUAGAGAUAGCAGGUGGAUUCGUCCGACCGAAGACAGGUGGUGCAUGGUUGUCGU